UCUCAUCUUGUUCAUAAAAGGUCACUACAUAACCUCCUGUCUUAGGUAACAAAAUUAAUAAAGAUAAAAGGAAGAAUCCUUAGCAUUGCAGAAUGUAACAUCCUACUUUUUCCCCUGUGUGCAUAUGCACAUUAACACAAUGUAUUGUUCUGUAGGUUGAUGUUUGCUAACACUACACAGUGGCCAUCUUUGUGUGUCAUAAAGCUGUAGAACUUCUGUCGUGUCCACAUUACAGCCCCACGCAGUGUUCUGAGUCAUUGGGCCAUCAGUCUCUCCAUCUAUGGUACAUGAACUUGGUCCCUGCAGCUUAUCCCUUCACAGGCGUGGCAAGGCUCUCUGUGCUUACACCUUGAUGCUCAUCUUCUUGACACUGCUUCUGAGAAAAUUCACACAGAGACCGUGUGCUUGGAUAAUGGUUUUAGAAAUGACAGGAUGUAGCCUUUGUCUACUUCAGGGUUCCUCAAAUGACAACAUUCAGAUUCUAAUGUGAGAACUAGAUUAUGAUGUUUCACUCAGUAAGAACAGCAGAAACACAUGCGUCCUCAUUCUUUCUUCCUUUUGAAAUUUAAGCCAUCAAAAUGUUCUAGUUCUCUGUGUUGUUGGAGAGUUAACACACCAGGGAGCGUGAAGUUAUUUCUAGAAAUGUCCUGUCUGUGGAACUUCUGGGUAUCCGUAAGCCUAGAGUCAAAAAUCAGGGGUUGGUUGGUUCCCAGCAGUUCACAGUUUACUCUGGAGAAAGUGGUGUCAUAGCUCAGCAGAACACAGAGCCCAGGCUGUUUGUGUCACACCCUGUUCCUGCCACCAAGAAGUGCUGCUGCUGCUCAUCUUCCUAUCUCCAUCCUGCAGGGAUGCCACAGGACUCAGAGUGGGACCCUGGCUUCCUCAACCUUAAAAGUCUCAAAGACACUUUGACAGCUUCCAGCGAGUAAAAAUUCAUAUCCA